UACGGAGGUCCCGAGCGUUGUUCGGAUUCACUGGGCGUAAAGGGUGCGUAGGUGGCCUAAAAAGUUUGAUGCGAAAGCUCAGGGCUUAACCCUGAAAUGGCAUUGAAUACUGUUGGGCUGGAGGUUUGGAGGGGGGACUGGAAUUCUUGGUGUAGCAGUGAAAUGCGUAGAUAUCAAGAGGAACACCAGUGGCGAAGGCGAGUCCCUGGACAACACCUGACACUGAGGCACGAAAGCCGGGGGAGCAAACAGG
rnacentral:rRNA from 1 species